GGUCGACCCGCUGAAUUUAAGCAUAUCACUAAGCGGAGGAAAAGAAACUAACCAGGAUUCCCCUAGUAACGGCGAGUGAAGAGGGAAAAGCCCAGCACCGAAGCCUGUGGCAAUUUUGCUGCUAGGCAAUGUGGUGUUUAGGUCGGCUCGUGGGAUCGCCACUCCACUCGAAGUCCAGCAUUGAGUAUGGUUCCCAGGAAUUGGCCCAUAGAGGGUGAAAGGCCCGUACGAGUGGAUGUGUCAGAUAUGUAAGGCGAUUCACCAGGCCGGCCUUAGAGUCGGGUUGUUUGCGAAUGCAGCCCAAAGUGGGUGGUAAACUCCAUCCAAGGCUAAAUACUAGCACGAGUCCGAUAGCGAACAAGUACCGUGAGGGAAAGUUGAAAAGUACUUUGAAGAGAGAGUAAACAGUACGUGAAACCGCAUAGAGGUAAACGGGUGGCGUCAAGCUGCAAGCCCAGAGAAUUCAGUCGGUCAGGGUGUUGUCAUGCGCCCAGCGCAUCUAUCAGUCGGUGUAGGAUUUGGCUAGUCCGCUUGAAGAUGGCGGGCCCAGCUAGCAAUAGCUGGGAUUUGCGUACCGGGCGGUAGCCGGAGCAUGCUAGCCGUCUGUAGGACUGCCUGGCCGAUGCACUUUCUCUGUUGGUGAACACCACGACCGGUGGUACUGCCAGUCUGCUGUAGCCAGCUUCGUUGCAUACUCUGGCCUUUUGGUUGGGGCGUGUGGCGAUCACAGACAAUUUCAGUGCACGGUGCUUGUGUGUUUUUCGCAUGCGGGCAUGUUAUCGGGAACUGGUUGUAAACGGGUCGGCCUGUCGACUUGUCUGUAGUCGUGGUUGAUGGGUGACCCGGUGGGCUAUGGUGGUAUGAAUAACUGUGCAGGGCACCGGAGUUUUCGGUCCGACCAGCAGUAGUCGUUCGCGGCUGCUGUUGCCGGCUGCAUACGCACUGCAGUUUAGCGUGUGCACUGUCUUUGGCAGUAGUACGGGCGGCGCUGUUUACGGCCUGCCAGUCGUUGGGUCUGAUUGUCGUGUCGCCUGCCAAAAUGGUGGGUCCGGCGGUGGCCUGGCGUUGGAUGGUGCCUGUAGACGGAGCUGUCGUUGUGCAGCCGGUAUUUGUGUGCGCGACCUUAUAGUCUGUGGUGUAGUGGUAGACGAGCUACCCGACCCGUCUUGAAACACGGACCAAGGAGUUUAACAUGCGCGCGAGUCAUUGGGUCCUACGAAACCCAGAGGCGCAGUGAAAGUAAAGCUUCGACAUAUAUUGUUCUCGGGGUGUGGUGAGAUCCUGCUGUUUCUCGCAUACAUUUGUCCAGCACUGGGCUAACUAAACGAGCAGUGGGCGCAUCACCGGCCCGUCCCAUGAUGUGGCUAUCUGUCAGUGGCAGUUGUCGCCUUACGGUGGUGGUUGCUUUCUGCGGGUACGUCAUCGGGGCGGAGCAUGAGCGCGCAUGUUGAGACCCGAAAGAUGGUGAACUAUGCUUGCGUAGGUUGAAGCCAGAGGAAACUCUGGUGGAGGACCGCAGCGAUUCUGACGUGCAAAUCGAUCGUCAAACGUGAGUAUAGGGGCGAAAGACUAAUCGAACCAUCUAGUAGCUGGUUCCCUCCGAAGUU
rnacentral:rRNA from 1 species